CGAGUAAGCAGGUGGAUGCCCCUGCUAAUAAGAGCCAAGCGGCAUCCCAGGUCCAUGCUACGGAGAGCUGCAGACGGCCAAAUUGCUGGUUCCAUUUUUGCUAAGCUGCAGACGUCCACCCCUGGAGAAGUCAAUUAAGCUUUUCGCGCGGCCAUGGCUGGAGGAGGAGGAGUACCUGCGCCGUAUGUGCAAGGUGGCACCUGCGAGAGGAAUCUGCCGGCACAGGCUCGACACAAGAACGAGGCAAGGCCGGCGUACACCAUCCCCGGCGUCCCCAUGCCCGUCCGGCCAGCUCCAAAACAGCCGUCAACGCGGCCAAAGGCCCCUCCGUCCCCAUCUCGGCCGGGGCUCAAGGACAAGGCCAAGGCCAAGGCGGCGCUGCACCAGAAGGCGGGUGAGACCAGUGAGAUGAAGGACAGAGUGGAGAAGUUUUUUUCGAUUUUCCUGGGAAACAGAGACAAAAAGAAGUGAGACGGUCGAACUGUUGGGAGCAAUCAAUUGAUGAGAUAUCUGAAGAUCAGUCAGGAUAGUGCAAUAGUGGUGGAUGAUGAAUAGAAUCUAGUCUUGGCUCUUAGCAUGUGUGUUUAAUUAGUUCAGUAUAUUUUUCUUCAAAAGAGAAAGAAAAAGUUCAGUGUGCCAAGUCUGCUUGUAUGCAUACUGCAUGCGUGUGCCGUGUGGUGUGCAAGUAUGAAGUACAUGCAAAUGAACCUUGAUCUGGACAUGUCUAGUGAGAUGAACUGGUCAAGCAACUACAACGAAAUGGCUUUUCUCGUCAUAUAAAAUUCUGUCGUCCUUUCUU